rnacentral:rRNA from 1 species
GACGAACCGUGCGAACGUUGUUCGGAUUCACUGGGCUUAAAGGGCGCGUAGGCGGACAAUCAAGUCAGGGGUGAAAGCCUCCAGCUCAACUGGAGAAGUGCCUUUGAUACUGACUGUCUCGAGGGAGGUAGGGGCAUGUGGAACUUCCGGUGGAGCGGUGAAAUGCGUAGAUAUCGGAAGGAACGCCGGUGGCGAAAGCGACGUGCUGGACCCCUUCUGACGCUGAGGCGCGAAAGCUAGGGGAGCAAACGGG